GUGCAUCCACUGAUAGGCCUGUUGCCUAAUGGUGGCCUCUUGGUUUGCACGCGGAUGCGACAUCAAUCCUCCUCGUGUCUUCUGGCCAUCAGAAUGUUGGCAGGAAUUGACUGAAUUGAGGAGAAUAGAA